rnacentral:rRNA from 1 species
UACGGAGGGUGCGAGCGUUGUCCGGAAUCACUGGGCGUAAAGGGCGCGUAGGCGGCCUGAUAAGUAGGGGGUGAAAUCCUGCGGCUUAACCGCAGGGCUGCCUUCUAAACUGUCAGGCUUGAGCACAGUAGAGGCAGGUGGAAUUCCCGGUGUAGCGGUGGAAUGCGUAGAGAUCGGGAGGAGCACCUAUGGCGAAGGCAGCUCGCUGGGACGUUACUGACGCUGAGACGCGAAAGCGUGGGGAGCAAACAGG